rnacentral:rRNA from 1 species
AAUAGAUACCCGGGUAGUCCACGCCGUAAACGAUGGAUGCUAGCUGUUAUGAGUAUCGACCCUUGUAGUAGCGAAGCUAACGCGUUAAGCAUCCCGCCUGUGGAGUACGAGCGCAAGCUUAAAACAUAAAGGAAUUGACGGGGACCCGCACAAGCGGUGGAGCGUGUUGUUUAAUUCGAUGAUAAGCGAAGAACCUUACCAAGGCUUGACAUCCCUGGAAUUUCUCCGAAAGGAGAGAGUGCCUUCGGGAAUCAGGUGACAGGUGAUGCAUGGCCGUCGUCAGCUCGUGUCGUGAGAUGUUUGGUUAAGUCCAUCAACGAGCGCAACCCUUGUAAAUAGUUGAAUUUUUCUAUUUAGACUGCCUCGGUAACGGGGAGGAAGGAGGGGAUGAUGUCAGGUCAGUAUUUCCCUUACGCCUUGGGCUACAAACACGCUACAAUGGCCGGUACAAAGGGCAGCCAACCCGCGAGGGGGAGCAAAUCCCAUCAAAACCGGUCUCAGUUCGGAUAGCAGGCUGAAAUUCGCCUGCUUGAAGCCGGAAUCG